GUAAUAGAAUUAUUGCUUUUUUGUAAUGUUAUUUUGUUGUUCUUGUAGAGACCACUAUUUCUACACUGCUUGUGCCCUCAUCUUUUUAUGGUACCCAUGCAGAUCCUCAGACAGAUACAGACACCACUGCCCUCGCUGUUCUCAUCUUGUGGUUCCCAUGUGGAGCAUUAUUCAGCAACAGGAACUACAUAGACUGCCAUUUAAAAGGUUUUGGACA